rnacentral:misc_RNA from 1 species
AGUUAAACAGUACGUGAAAUUGUUGAAAGGGAAACGAUUGAAGUCAGUCAUACCAACGGGAAAUCAACCUCUUGAGUUUGGUCUCGUGGGUUUCGAAGAGUUUAAAAGCCUUCGGAUUUUCGAGAUUGGGUUCUUCUGGUGUACUUUCUCGUACGGUUAGUCAACAUCGGUUUUGAAUGUCAUAAAAUGGCUGGAGGAAUGUGGCUUCGAUCUCGUAUUGAAGUGUUAUAACCUUUGGUAGAUGUGAUGUUUGAGACCGAGGAUUGCAACGGAUACCCUUCUGGGCUAUUCGUCUGAUCUCUGAAACGUUGCCUUGAUGUCGAAAGCUUGCUUAUGAUGUUAGGGUAUUACGGUCAAAAGGUUAGAACGGAUUAAAUUCGUUAAGGAUGUUGACGUAAUGACUUUAAA